UCCUCGAUCUGCUGCGGGCAGAUGAAAUGGACGUGGCUGUCGAUGCCGCCGGCGGUGACGAUGUUGCCCUCGCCGGCCACGAUCUCGGUGGCGGCGCCGAUCGGAAUCGUCACGCCGGGCUGGAUGUCCGGAUUGCCCGCCUUGCCGAUUCGCCAGAUGCGGCCGUUCUUGAUCCCGAUGUCGGCCUUGACGAUGCCGAUCACGGCGUCGACGAUCAGGGCGUUGGUGAUGACCGUGUCGGCCACCUCGGCUGCGACACGCUGGCCCUGUCCCAUGCCGUCGCGGA
rnacentral:sRNA from 1 species